CAGCAGCCGCGGUAAUACGUAGGGUGCGAGCGUUAAUCGGAUUUACUGGGCGUAAAGCGUGCGCAGGCGGCCCGUUAAGACAGGUGUGAAAUCCCUGGGCUCAACCUAGGAAUUGCGCUUGUGACUGGCGGGCUCGAGUACGGUAGAGGGGGGUGGAAUUCCUGGUGUAGCAGUGAAAUGCGUAGAGAUCAGGAGGAACACCGAUGGCGAAGGCAGCCCCCUGGGCCUGUACUGACGCUCAUGCACGAAAGCAUGGGGAGCAAACAGGAUUAGAUACCCGGGUAGUCCACGCCCUAAACGAUGGGUACUAGCCGUUUGGUGCGCGAUAGCGCUGAGUGGCGAAGCUAACGCGUGAAGUACCCCGCCUGGGGAGUACGGCCGCAAGGUUGAAACUUAAAGGAAUUGGCGGG
rnacentral:rRNA from 1 species